AGGAAAGUUAAUCUGCUCUGUUCUGCUCGAAGGGAAUUCAAUGAGCUAUGUUUGUAGGGAUGCCAGUUUUGGUUGGAUAGAUUCCUGGAGGUUUCAUCACAAGACAUAAUCUUUAAUUAAAAAAUAAUAUUUAAUUCCUGGAGACUCCAGGACAAUCCUGGAGGAUUAGCAACCCUAUGUGUUUGCUAAACCUGCUGCUAACCCUAAGGUAAUGACUGGAGGUAAAGGGACUAGAGGAAGAGGCCCAGGGAAGGUAGCAGCAGCUAACUGAAAGAAUUAAAGGAAGCAGUACAUGUCUGCUGUUUAUAUGGUGCUUGGGUUGGAACCUGAAGUAGUGGCCAGGCCUGGGUUCCACUGAUUAAGUGGGCUAAUCCUCAAGCCGGGGAAAAGGUUCCUUUUAGAAGCCUGAGCAAAGGGCAGAAUUUAAAGAGCCCAGAGAUGGGGCUGAAGACCCUGGUAGUUUGUGGAACUCUUGCUACCCUGGAAGAAAUUCAUUCAUUUUGACUGUGUGAUUUGGCCAGAGGGCUGCACCACCGAAGACUCCCCACACAGUGCCAGCAGCAGGACAAGGCCUGCAGUAUCAGACGCAGGAGGUGCUCAAGAGACCCCAUGCUCACACAGGAGUCCUGCUUGCUUUCACUGGCUGUUAAAAGAACCUGGUGCUAUUGCUUAGAGGACUAAGCUCUUUAGAAAAUGAAAAAUUAUUUGUUGCCUUUGUAUGCCAAAGAUACUGGAAGAAAGUUCUGCACAGCUGGAAUCCAUGGACCUGUGCUAUCAUGUUUUUAAAGACCAACCUGUGCUUGGAAAGGUCAGAAAGGGAUUUCAGUGGUUCGGAAAUCCCCAUGCCCCCUCCUGGCUAUGCUACAAGAGUGGAAAACCAUAAGAACUUCAACCAAAGAAAUGCACAAGCGAUAGUACUGGUCUGUGUACUGAUGGAAGCCAGGUGAAGUUUGAAUAUCUGGCAGUACAGCAUAUGGACGCUUCCACUUUUGAGGGGGGGAAAUUGAUUAACCCAUUAUAAAUUAAUGGAAUUAUUUGUCCACACUCUCUUCUCCAGAUUAAAUCUAAAUGGCUAAAUGCAUGAUGUGGGGCUAAUUCCUCAGAAAUGAAGAAAAGGCAGUUAAACUA